rnacentral:rRNA from 1 species
UUUAGGAGUGGUAGAGGAGCAUUGUUAGCGCAGCGAAGCUGUACCGAUAAGGAGCAGUGGAGUGCUAAGAAGAGAGAAUGCCGGAAUGAGUAGCGAGAGGAAGGUGAGAAUCCUUCCGGCCGAAUAUCCAAGGUUUCCAGAGUAAAGCUGAUCUGCUCUGGGUAAGUCGGGGCCUAAGGCGAGGUCGAAAGACGUAGUCGAUGGAUAACAGGUGGAGAUUCCUGUACUAUGUGUACCCAGAACUGUGGGGACGCAUGUGGAGAGCAUGAGCCGGGAAAGAGAAAACCGGUACAAGCGGGGUAGGAGUAAGGACAGCAAAUCUUCCUUACAAUCCGAAGACGUAAUGUGGACCGAACCAAAGUAGGGAAGCGUGUGAGCCAUGUGCCAAGAAAAGCCGCUAUUGUGAUACACAUACCCGUACCGUAAACCGACACAGGUGGAUGAGGAGAGAAUCCUAAGGCCGACGGAAGAAGCAUUGUUAAGGAACUCGGCAAAAUGACCCCGUAACUUCGGGAGAAGGGGUGCCCUGUGAAAGCAGGGCCGCAGAGAAUAGGCUCAAGCAACUGUUUAGCAAAAACACAGGUCUAUGCGAAACCGAAAGGUGAGGUAUAUGGGCUGACGCCUGCCCGGUGCUGGAAGGUUAAGAGGAGAAGUCAGGCAACGAAGCCUCGAAUUUAAGCCCCAGUAAACGGCGGCCGUAACUAUAACGGUCCUAAGGU